rnacentral:rRNA from 1 species
GGAGGAAAGCAGGGGAUCGCAAGACCUUGCGCUCAUUGAGCGGCCGAUGCCUGAUUAGCUAGUUGGUGAGGUAAAGGCUUACCAAGGCGACGAUCAGUAGCUGGUCUGAGAGGACGACCAGCCACACUGGGACUGAGACACGGCCCAGACUCCUACGGGAGGCAGCAGUGGGGAAUUUUGGACAAUGGGGGAAACCCUGAUCCAGCCAUGCCGCGUGAGUGAAGAAGGCCUUCGGGUUGUAAAGCUCUUUCAGCCGGAACGAAACGGUCACGGCUAAUACCUGUGACUACUGACGGUACCGGAAGAAGAAGCACCGGCUAACUACGUGCCAGCAGCCGCGGUAAUACGUAGGGUGCGAGCGUUAAUCGGAAUUACUGGGCGUAAAGCGUGCGCAGGCGGUUUUGUAAGUCAGAAGGGAAAUCCCCGGGCUUAACCUGGGAACUGCGUUGAUAAAAGAAAGCUAG